UAAUAACAACAACAAGAGAAAUACAAUGCUUCACGAUCAUAGUUUUUCUGAUUAGGCCAGAUAAAAAACAAAAACUCAAAAAUAUGUUGGGCUCAGAUAUAACAUGUUUUGUGGUAUUAUCUGAACAAUCACAGACACGAAAAAAAGAGAAAUUUGUCUCAGAGGCUGUAAUUCUGAGAAAGUCAUAGGUAGAACUGAUAGAAGUUGGACUCUUCGAGUUUAUAUUUGAUCUGGAAAACUACCCAAAACAGACCUGACAUUAAUCUGAUAGCUGGUUACCGAGUUAGUAGCGACAUCUUUGUCUUAGAUUAGGUUUCAAGAUAAAAGAUGUUGCAGGGUACCUCAAGCAACAACAGAGCAUCAGUUCAACCCCUGAAAUGGCGGCUGACCCAGCAAACAAAAUAAAAUCCCCUUGACGUCCUCUACUGGUCCUCUCUGAACGUUCCCUAAACGUAAAUGUGUAUGGUUCCCUUGACAGCCCGAGCCCCGAGGACGUUCUGCAGGACGUUCCAAGAAUGUCCCGAGGACAUUGCGGUGACAUCUGGGAAACGUUUUCUAGAGGUCCUGGGGACGUCCCCUGUUUGCUGGGGAGUAGCAUUCACUGGAGGACCUGAUGCUAUAUAAUACAAAGUGAGGCAUCAGCGUUAUUCUAUCUGUCAAUCCGUAAUGGUAAACUAACAAGGAUAGCUACACCAAACUUGGGAAUGUCAGUUUGUCAGUUAACACUGACAAAGGCUAAAAAGUACCCUUACCUCAGUACAUCUUUCAAGCAACUUCAGUUGGGGAAUGGAAGUCUUAAAUUCAGCGAUCCCAAACAGUCUUUAAUUACAGGAAUAGCUAACGUUAAGCUGGAUAAGUAACUAUGUUACUCUGUUGUCUCUGAUUGUGCAGCAAUGCAAUCAACUGACCUGUGAAGUUACCUUAUGAUUGCGACUGGUCUUGGUCAUAACUAAUUUUUUUUAUUUGCAUAUCCCACGGUAUCUUCUUUGUAUUAACGUGUGUGCACUACCAAAUGUUGAAGGUUUGAACUGUUGUCAGGUUGUGGCACCAGUUGACCCUGAAAUUGACCGACUUUGUGCAAGACCCCUGCACGGGUGAUGGUCUUAUUCAGGUAAACACACUCAGGUCUCUAUGUUCAAUAAAUUGACACAGAUGUAGGCUACACUUUGCUGCUUUGUUUACAGUGUUCCAUUGUAAUUGUUCUUGCUCCUUGUUUAUUCUAGCUCUAUUAGAACUUAUUGAGUGACUUUGAACACAAAAGAAAUCAAAGUAAAACCAUCUUUUUUUCUCAUUUUCUUUACCAUCCCUUCCUCUUUACAGAAUCAAUCCACUCUCCUUGGUGGAAAUAAGUCUGUAUGUAGUCAGACAGAUGUAGGGUAAAUAUUUAAUAUAUUUACGCUGCAUAUAAAAUUGUCAGUACCACACACCAUCACCAAAUGAAAGACUUGAUGUUAUAAUAAAUAGUAUCCCAAUGAUGCCAUAGCAUUCCUUAAAGAGGAAAAAAGAGAAAGUACUAUUAAGAACAAACGUAAUUAAUACUGUUGGCAUGGGUAAAAAAAAAAUAUAUAUAUUUUGCCAGGCCCAGUGAAAUGGAAACUUGACAUUGCAUCAAACUCUUACACAUGCCAUUGUGAAUCUUUUUUUUAACGUUUUAGCAUCUUUGCCUCUUUACUAGGUGAAGAGCAGCGAAGAGGCAGUUAUACUCUGUAAGACCUCCAUCGGAAGCCUUAAACUGGACAUUAAUGAUCUCCCUGUGACAAAGAAGCGAAUUUAGGAGGUGUAGGAGACGCUGAAUAAUUUGCCAGGUGUUACGUCAGUCCAUGGACGCUUCUAUGAUUUAUCCAGCAAGUACUAUCGCUUUGUUGGGAACCAUGCCCUCUACUACAAAGAUGCUUUACGCUACCUGGGUUGUGUGGAUAUAAAAGACAUUCCAGCUCAUGCACCCUGUGCUGGAGACUCUGAGGGACACAGACAAGCAGUGGCUGAUUGACACCCUCUCUAUGCCUUCAACUGAGGGAAUGUUGAGAAGUUCCAGGCCCUGAAAACAGCAUGGGGCCAACAGGUGACUUCUGACUCUCUCUGGAGACAGCUUUGAUUUGCAUUGCCAAUUAUAUUGAUCUGAGUUGCUCAGCUGGCACAGGCAGCAUAACAACAAUAAAGAUGUGUAUGGGGAAAUUAGUAGAAAUCAUAAUUUGAGCCAGUAAUUUCAGCUGCAAAUGCCACAUGAGUCAUCUUGCUAGAAACACUGGGGAAUUACAUGGGGAGAACUGAUUGGCUGAUGGUAGGAACAUCAACCAUGGUAUGCUCAAUUCAAGUAUGCAAGCCAAACUGUAAUAGGCUGCAGGCAGGCUAAAACAUUUGUGUCCUUUAACA